AACUGAAAACAUUUGAACUUGUUCUAUCUUCUAGGUUCUUUCUUGAAAAGGCAAUAGAGGCAUCUUCUUCAUUUGCAAAGGACAAAAGUGCAACACUUCUCAGAGAGGUGAAGGCUAAGAUUGCGGCUCAUACAGACUGUGGCUGUGCCCAGUUGAUUGACAAGGUUUUUCAGCUGCUGUACACUUCUGUUAUGGCUAGUGAACAAGCAAUGUCAGACCAAGAACAAUGUGACACAAAAACUCAGGAAAGAAAGCAACAAGAAAAUGAUGUUACUACAUUUGUAUCUAAUACAACAGAUUUUGAACAGAAGUGGUUUGGUGAUUUACUGUCCUACAUGGCUGGAAAUUAACACCAAAUUCCAUAAUGAAUGGUUAUUUAUCCAGUCUUAUUUAACUGGACUUGUCAAUAAACUCAGAGUUGAGAAUAAACAAUUUUUAAUAUUUAUUCAACAAUAAAGAUAUUCAAUAUUUUCAAUAAAAUGCAAUAUUUCUUCAGCUGUUGUUUUGAAGCCUGGCGUAUCAAAUUCCAGACUAAAAAAAUAUGUUAGUCUGGCCAGUUAUCAAUUCACUUACUUAUUUGUUAUGAUUAUUAUCACUCAAUUUCCUCCCCUAAUAAGGCAGUGAUAAGAACAUAAUUAGGCUAAAACCAGCUUUACCAUUUCAAAAUGGAAUGAGUCUUUGUGAGUCCAAAAACCAUGAACACUUUGAUUUGAUUCUGACAG